rnacentral:lncRNA from 1 species
AUAUUAGAUAAACAAAAAGAAAAUACUGAAAAACAAUCAACAGAUGUACAAAUUUUAUUUUUAAAUGAUAAAAAUAGAAAGGAGUUAAUAAAAAAAGAAGAAAAAAAAGAAGAAAAAGGGAAAGGUAGUAUUUGUAAUGCGGAGGAUAUGAAAGUUGUGUUAAAUAAUCAAGCUGUACAUGAUCAAACCAGUGAUAAUACGUGUCUCCCAAGCUGUGACAAAAUGGAUGGUAAUCUAAGAAAUAAGGAUCGGAACAAUAAUAACGCUUUUUUUAAAAUGUUGACAACACAGAAUCAUACCAAAACAAAAGAAAAGGAAAAAAGAAAAAAGUCACUUAAUAAUUCUACUGAAAAUAAAACAAAUAUAUUUAAUAAAAUUACAAAUUAUUUUAAAAUUGUUGAAAGUAGUAAAAAUGAAAAAAACAAAAUAUAUGAGAAGCAACGUAUAGAAGAAAAAAAUAAAAAAGUUGCUACACUAAACGAACAAAAUGUAAAUAAUGCAACUAAUGUAAAUAAUACAACUAAUGUAAAUAAUAUAUUUAUACAUGACAUUAAAUAUAAGUUAAAUAACAAAAAUGAAUCUAUAAGGGAUAGUAAAAAUAUAAAUGCAGAUACAAAUAUAAAAAAAGUUAUCGAUACAGGUUAUAUCAACCAAACAAAUACCGACACACUUUUUGACGCUUGUACGAUUGGAUGUACUAACGGGUAUACUGAUUUAUUAAACGAAACAACUUGUAGUGAAAAUAUGUUAACUAACAUCCAGGUUGUAAAAAAUCGUGAAAUCAAUAUAUUGGAUAAUACAGAAGAGAUUUUAAAAAAUGACAAUAGUCAUAAUACUAAUAGUAGUAAUAGCCAUAAUACUAAUAACAGUAAUAGCCAUAAUAGUAGUAAUAACAAUAAUACUAAUAGUAGUAAUAACAAUAAUACUAAUAGUAGUAAUAACAAUAGCAAUAAUAGUAGUAAUAACAAUAGCAAUAAUAAUAGCAGUAAUAACAAAAUGGAAAGUUAUAAAAAAAAACAAAGUAUAUUAGAACAUGUAAAAAAUGAUAAUUCGAAACAUUUCUCAAACGAUCAUACAUAUCAUAUUAACAACUUUAAUAAUGAAUUAAAUGAAGAAAACACUUUAAAAGUAUGUGAUAAUACACAGAUGCUUAGUAAUGCUACUACAGCUGUUAGUGUUAAUAGUGAUAGUAGUGACAAUAACACUCAUAAUAAUAAAGAACCAACUAAUAUAUAUAAUAAUACAAACAAAAUGAACAAAUUAAUAGAUAAUGAAAAAAAAAAUAAGAUAGAACAGUUAUAUAUUUAUUGCAAAAAAAAUAUAAAUAUAUUAUUAUAUACUUAUGUAAUACAUAUAUAUUUUCAAAAACUAUGUAAAAAUUUAAUUAUAAAAGUAGUACAUCCUAAAUAUAAAUUUAUAAAAAAAAAAAAUUAUGAACACAGUGAUUUUAUAUUAUCUCCAUUAAUAGGAUAUUUUUACGCCAAUUAUUAUUUUUUAAAACUCAGUAAAAUAGAAAAAACGGAAAUGAAUUUAUCAAAAAUGAAUGCAAACAAAGAUAGGAACGAAAACGAAAGCGAAAACUUAAGUUUAAACCCAAAUCAAAACCAAAACCAAAAUUUAAGUCAAAACCAAAAUUUAAGUCAAAACCAAAACUUAAGUCAAAACCAAAACCUUAGCCAUAACUUAAGUCGAAUUAAAAAGAAAAAAAAAUUAACUAAAAAAAAAAAAAUAAAAAGUAAAAAAACAUUUAUAAUAAAAAAAAUAAAUAAAAGAAAAAAAAAUAGAAAUUGUUCAAGUAGUAAUAAUCAUAAAUUAAUAAUCCCAAGCAUACCGUUUGCUGUAAAUAAUAAAUCAUCAAUUCAUAAAGCGUAUCAUAAUAUAAACAAAAACAGAAAAUAUAAUGGAAAAUAUAUUAAUUUAUACUUAUGGGGUAUAAACAAUUCCAAUACCAAAAAAACAAUACGUGUUUCAUUUAAUAAUAUAUCUAAUAGAGAACUAACAAAUUUUGAUAUUUGCAACUUCUUUUAUGCUAAUUAUAAUUUAAUUCCGAGCUUAACCAAAAUUAGUAACGACCUAGCGCAAUUAAUAAAUAUUUAUAAUAAUAUCAGAUCCAUAUUAUAUCAAAAUACUGCUAUUUAUGCAUCUUCAUUUUUAUUGAACUAUAAAAAUGAUUUAAUUCGAACUCACACGGAUGAACAACUUAUAAAAUUCUGGUUAAACACAUUGAAUGAACUCUAUGCAAUAGGAGAUGGCUUUAAUAAUUUUUUUUAAACUUUUUUUUUUUUUUUGCUCAACCUUUGUAUUGUCACAUACAUACAUAAUGCCUCAUGAUUAUUUAAAAACGAAUUAUACUUUAUUUAUUUUUUUUUAACUUAUGUUGUUGGAACAAUGUAUUAAAUACUAACAUUUUUAAUGUAUCUAUAAUACAAUCAUACAUGUAUAUUUUUUAUUUAAUUUUUUUAAUUUUCCUGUUUACAUAUAUUUUUUAAUUUAUUCACUUUUAUUUUUUAAUUUACUCGUUUUUUUUUUUUUUUUUUUGGAAUUUACCCAUUCUUAUUUUUUAAUGUAUUCACUCUUAUUUUUUAAUUUACUUAUUUUUAUUUUUUAAUUUACCUACUUUUAUUUUUUAAUUUACUCACAUUUAUUUUUUAAUUUAUUCACUNNNNNNNNNNUUACUCACAUUUAUUUUUUAAUUUAUUCACUUUUAUUUUUUAAUUUAUUCACUUUUAUUUUACAUACUUUUGAAGUGUAAAUAACUCGGCCUUGUUUUUAUUUUUUUUAAAUAACAGUGACAAUAGCAGCAACAGUAAUAAUGAUAUCAACAAUGGUAACAUUAUUAAAAAAAAAUAUAUAUAUAUAUAAGAAAGAUUAAACACAAAAAAAAAAUUAAAAUUUGAAACAAUAUAAGAAAUCACGUUUUACCUCUAUACCUUUCCAUUUUCCGCCUUGUUUUCUGUGUUUACAUUUUUCGACUUACGUAACUCUUUUUAUUUAUACAAUUUUUACAUGUUUAAAAAAAAAAAAAAAAAAAAAAAAAAAAAGUAAAGUAAUGUAAUGUAAUGUAUGAGCUGUUAUUCACAUCACGAUGGACAGAUUUGUAUAAUAUAAAAACAUUUACGUUUAUUAUGCAUAACUGUUGUACAUACUGCUAUAAAAUUGUUCGAAAUUGUUCGAAAUUGUUCGAAAUCGUUAUGAAGUCACUAUGAAAGCAUCAUAAGCAGAGCUACGCAGUCAAUAUAUAUAUAUAUGUAUGUAUGUAUGU